rnacentral:lncRNA from 1 species
UUGAACUAGAUAAAUCAAAAAACUGUUUUGGACAAUUCAAACCGCAAUUCAACCAUCGAACUGGUUAACUAUAAUCAAACAAACUGGAUUAUUUUAUCGAGUCAUAUUAAAAUUCAAUGACUUAAAAUCAACCUAACUGAUUUUAUUUUCUAUUAGUACGAAUUAGUCUUAUAACAAGUGAAACUAGAAAACUUAUAUCUACUUAAUAUAAUCUAAAAAUCAGUAUUUUAUAAUU